rnacentral:rRNA from 1 species
UACGUAGGUGGCAAGCGUUGUCCGGAUUUACUGGGCGUAAAGGGCGCGUAGGCGGUGUGUCAAGUCAGGCGUGAAAGCCCCGGGCUCAACCUGGGAACAGCGCUUGAGACUGGCACGCUCGAGUUCGGGAGAGGAUGGUGGAAUUCCCAGUGUAGAGGUGAAAUUCGUAGAUAUUGGGAAGAACACCGAUGGCGAAGGCAGCCAUCUGGACCGACACUGACGCUGAGGCGCGAAAGCGUGGGGAGCAAACAGG